rnacentral:rRNA from 1 species
GACGAACGCUGGCGGCGUGCUUAACACAUGCAAGUCGAACGAUGAAGCCUUUCGGGGUGGAUUAGUGGCGAACGGGUGAGUAACACGUGGGCAAUCUGCCCUGUACUUUGGGAUAAGCCUUGGAAACGGGGUCUAAUACCGGAUAUGACUGGCCUUCGCAUGGGGUUGGUUGAAAGUUACUGGCGGUACAGGAUGAGCCCGCGGCCUAUCAGCUUGUUGGUGGGGUAAUGGCCUACCAAGGCGACGACGGGUAGCCGGCCUGAGAGGGCGACCGGCCACACUGGGACUGAGACACGGCCCACGACUCCUA